CCUACGGGAGGCAGCAGUGAGGAAUUUUCCGCAAUGGGCGAAAGCCUGACGGAGCAAUACCGCGUGAGGGAUGAAGGAUUUUGGUCUGUAAACCUCUUUUCUCAAGAAAGAAGUUCUGACGGUACUUGAGGAAUAAGCAUCGGCUAACUCCGUGCCAGCAGCCGCGGUAAUACGGGGGAUGCAAGCGUUAUCCGGAAUGAUUGGGCGUAAAGCGCCUGUAGGUUGUUUAUUAAGUCCGUUGUUAAAGCCUAGGGCUCAACCCUAGAAAAGCAAUGGAAACUAGUAGACUAGAGUAUGGCAGGGGUAGAGGGAAUUUCUAGUGUAGCGGUGAAAUGCGCAGAUAUUAGAAAGAACACCGGUGGCGAAAGCGCUCUACUGGAUCAUUACUGACACUCAGAGGCGAAAGCUAGGGUAGCAAAAGGGAUUAGAUACCCCUGUAGUCCUAGCCGUAAACGAUGGAUACUAGAUGUUGUGCAUUAUGUACAGUAUCGUAGCUAACGCGUUAAGUAUCCCGCCUGGGGAGUACGCUCGCAAGGGUGAAACUUAAAUGAAUUGACGGCUGAGACGNGCGACGACGACGACGAGGAGAGG
rnacentral:rRNA from 1 species